AUACGUAGGGUGCAAGCGUUAAUCGGAAUUACUGGGCGUAAAGCGUGCGCAGGCGGUUUUGUAAGACAGUGGUGAAAUCCCCGGGCUCAACCUGGGAACUGCCAUUGUGACUGCAAGGCUGGAGUGCGGCAGAGGGGGAUGGAAUUCCGCGUGGAGCAGUGAAAUGCGUAGAUAUGCGGAGGAAACCCGAUGGCGAAGGCAAUCCCCUGGGCCUGCACUGACGCUCAUGCACGAAAGCGUGGGGAGCAAACAGGAUUAGAUGCCCUGGUAGUCCACGCCCUAAACGAUGUCAACUGGUUGUUGGGGAUUUAUUUUCUCAGUAACGAAGCUAACGCGUGAAGUUGACCGCCUGGGGAGUACGGCCGCAAGGUUAAAACUCAAAUGAAUUGACGGGG
rnacentral:rRNA from 1 species